CCGAGUUUACAACUCCCAAACCCCUGUGAACAUACCUUUUGUUGCUUCGGCGGGAUCGCCCCGGUGCCCUCGGGCCCGGAUCCAGGCGCCCGCCGGAGGACCUAAACUCAACUGUAUUUUUUGUAUCAAAACGUAUUCUGAGUGGAAUUUUAAAUAAAUCA
rnacentral:misc_RNA from 1 species